AACGAACGCUGGCGGCAUGCCUAACACAUGCAAGUCGAACGAGAUCUUCGGGUCUAGUGGCGCACGGGUGCGUAACGCGUGGGAAUCUGCCCUUUGGUUCGGAAUAACAGUUGGAAACGACUGCUAAUACCGGAUGAUGACGAAAGUCCAAAGAUUUAUCGCCAGAGGAUGAGCCCGCGUAGGAUUAGCUAGUUGGUGUGGUAAAGGCGCACCAAGGCGACGAUCCUUAGCUGGUCUGAGAGGAUGAUCAGCCACACUGGGACUGAGACACGGCUCAGACUCCUACGGGAGGCAGCAGUGGGGAAUACUGGACAAUGGGCGAAAGCCUGAUCCAGCAAUGCCGCGUGAGUGAUGAAGGCCUUAGGGUUGUAAAGCUCUUUUACCCGGGAUGAUAAUGACAGUACCGGGAGAAUAAGCUCCGGCUAACUCCGUGCCAGCAGCCGCCGUAA
rnacentral:rRNA from 1 species